GUUUCAUAACAGUGACAGUCAUCGCCUACCCUUUGUUUUUCCUCCUGCCCUACUUUUGUCAAAUGUUACUGAGGAGACCAGAGACCGUCCCACAUGGAGGCCACGAUCUUGGACACCUCUCCAAAGGUGGCGUUGGGAUUCUGACCCUUAAUAGCGGCCUGGGUGUCUCUGAAGAACAGGGCGUAAGCUGACACCGGCUUCUGAGGCUCAUUGGGAUCCUUCUUCUUCUUCUUCUUGGGUGUCUUGGGCUUCUUUACAGGAUCUAUGGGGGCUGGCCGCUUCUCUCCAAUCACCUGCAAUGAUAGGGAUAAAGAAAUGUAUCAAUGCCCUGUCAACGACCAAUAAAAACAGUAGACUAUGUGAUUUCUAA